rnacentral:rRNA from 1 species
GACGUAGGGCGCGAGCGUUGUCCGGAUUUAUUGGGCGUAAAGAGCUCGUAGGCGGCUUGUCGCGUCGUCCGUGAAAACCCACAGCUCAACUGUGGGCUUGCGGUCGAUACGGGCAGACUUGAGUUCGGUAGGGGAGACUGGAAUUCCUGGUGUAGCGGUGAAAUGCGCAGAUAUCAGGAGGAACACCCGUGGCGAAAGCGGCUCUCUGGGACGGUACUGACGCUGAGACGCGAAAGCGUGGGGAGCAAACAGG